GGGGUACCAACAGAGCUCAAGCCCGCGAGGGACAACGGGAAAUGUAGUCCAAGAUAGGGAAGCCUAUGAAAAACGGUACGGCCAAGCAUCGCAAUUAGUCUGAAGGCUGAGACUCGGUCCGCGGCGCCUGCUUCCAUACUUACCAUGGAGCUUCGGGAUAGCUCCAGAUCCUUCAGCUGUUUCCUCUUUGGCCGGGCUGCCUGCUGCCCACAGCAGGAUUCCCACCUCAAGACCAGCGGACUCUGCCAGGUGGUGAUAUUAGUAGCCAAAUAGAAAAUCUCGAGAAAUCUGGACUGGAAAGAUGGUUGAGUGGAUAAAAGCUCUUGUUGCUUAUUCAGAGGACUGGAGUUGGACUAGAGUCAUCACAUUGGGUGACUUACAACUUCCUAUAAUUCCAUCUUCAAGAAACCCCUUAUAAUCUUCUUGAGUACCUGUGUACAUGUGAAUAUACAUACAUACACAUAAAUAGAAACAAAUUUUAACUGAAAAUAAAAUCUCAAGAAAAACCCAAA
rnacentral:lncRNA from 1 species